AAGCCAGUCGCCAUUUUAAAUGUAAAAUCAUAAAAGACAUAAAAAUGCAUAACUUUCAAAUAACCGAACAUUUCCCAUUCGUAUCACAUAUCCCCAGAUAGCCUGGAUCUGAGUGCAUAUUAUUAGCGAAUAGCGCUCAGAUCCCACACACAUAAUUCAAUCGCCAAUGGGGUCAAAGUUCUUACAGUCUUUCGGUAUACGAAUGACUCCAUGGGAAGGCUAUCUGGGUUAAGUCUUUUCGUAUGCUCCAAACCUCCCGAACGGCCGGUAUUCGUAUGCUUUCGUGGAGACAGCCAGGCG